AAAAGGGCUCACUCCAGUCAGGCUGAGGAGAGGAAGUGAAGCUGAAAGACUGGGUAAUGAAGACAUCCUCAAGCCACUGGAAAGGGAGCCUUAAGGAGUUUAUCCUCGAAGAGGCAGCAAAGAGGAGGAGAUCUAGACCAGCAUAAGAGAUCUCAAUGAAAACAGAGGGCCCUCAUAGAGGAUAAACAGAUUUCCCACAAGUCUCAAUUCUCUGACUGUUCAAGAGAUUAGCAGCAUUCUCUUAAGAGUGAGAGGGGCCUCUUGAACUUCUUGGGAACAGUCAAAAUCAGAAAUCAGCAACAUGCCAAACCCCAACCGACCAGCCCAAGAGAAUUUAGAUCCAGAUGAAAAACUGGAUUCUGGCCUUGAGACAGGAGGUCCAGAGUACAGGUAAUGGAUUAGGUUUCAAUGCAAGGAAUGGAAGUAAGAAGCAACCCGCCCAAGAAGAACUUAUUAGCCUGAAUACGAUUUUGUCACAGUAAAAUUAUAUAUAAUUCACAGCACAAGCACAGUUAAAAAAAAAAAAGACAAUUUCACGCUAUGAUGAUGGC